GGCUUGUGUGCGUCCUGCGAGAUGUGCAUGGCAUGUGGGUGAUGGUGGUGGGCCGGUUGGAUCGUUGCUCCUUCUCUAGUCAUCGCUGCCAGCACUCAGGCCCCGUCCUCAUCACCGUGGACCCCUGGGAACGGUCCAGUUGUCUCGUGCUGGAGGCUGGUCAUCAGUUCUGUCCCCACCGACAUGACUCUGGCCCCACCAACCCUCCAGUCACCAGGCCUGGGCAGGCUGCCCCUCUCAGCAGUGAGCAAAGGCCACUGAGCUGCCCUCCCUCAGACCUUCCGUGGCCUCGUCCUGAGAUAGGAUGGGGUCCGGGAGGCUCCUCUGCCUUUGCGUCUGGAGACGUAUAGUUCUGACAAGCAGGCGUGCAAGUUCACUCCGUCCUAGGAUUCCCAAAUGUAAAGAAAGUUUCCACUGGACACAGACCCCAGGGCAGAGGUGAUUAGACAUGAGGGGACUCUCCACCACCCAUCCCAAGGACUGCCAUGCCUGUUGCCCUUUUUUGUUGUUGCUGUUCUUUCUUUAGUUAGGAUUAUAGUUGCUUUACAAUGUUGUUAGUUUCUGCUGUACCAGGAAUUGAACCAGCUAAUUGUGCAUACAAAUGCCCUGCCUCUUGGACCUCCCUCCUACCACCCCCACCCUCCAUUCCACUCGUCUAGGUCAUCACAGAUCGCUGGUGCUCACUGGCUUCCCAUUGGGGAUCUAUUUUGCACGUGGUAGUGUAUAUGUGUGUGUGUGUGUGUAUCUGUCCUAAUCAGCCCUAAUCAGUCAGAGCUUUCAGCUUCACUGUGGACCCGGCUGAGCAUCGAGGGCACUUCGAGGGGACAGGACAGUGGGGCCCACCAUGGGCUUUUCGCCAGUCUCUCAGGGCUGCGCCAGUCGGCCCUGCUACCCAGCCCCAAGCUCGAGAAAGUCCUUGCAUUUUCUCAGGUUUUCUUUGAAGAUGUUUCCUGCUGCUAAGUCACUUCAGUCGUGUCCGACUCUGUGCGAUAGAUGGCAGCCCACCAGGCUCCCCCAUCCCUGGGAGUCUCCAGGCAAGAACACUGGAGUGGGUUGCCAUUUCCUUCUCCAAUGCAUCAAAGUGAAAAGUGAAAGUGAAGUCGCUCAGUCGUGUCUGACUCUUCGCGACCACAUGGACUGCAGCCUACCAGGCUCCUCCAUCCAUGGGAUUUUCCAGGUAAGAGUACUGGAGUGGGGGUGCCAUUGCCCUGUUUGAUAAGCU
rnacentral:lncRNA from 1 species